GACGAACGCUGGCGGCGCGCUUAACACAUGCAAGUCGAGCGAAGCGGCGGACGGGUUAGUAACACGUGAGUAACCUGCCUUAGACAUUGGGAUAGCCCCGGGAAACCGGGAUUAAUACCAAAUGGUCUAAGGUGGACUCGCGUCCCAUUAGCUAGUUGGUGGGUAACGGCCCACCAAGGCGACGAUGGGUAGCCGGCCUGUGAGGGUGAGCGGCCACAUUGGAACUGGGAAACGGUCCAGAAUCUGCGGGAGGCAGCAGUGGGGAAUAUUGCACUAUGGAGGGAAGUCUGAUGCAGCGACGCCGCGUGAACGAAGAAGGCUUUCGAGUCGUAAAGUUCUUUUAUGUGGGAAGCGGUACCAUAAGAAAAAGCCCCGGCUAACUACGUGCCAGCAGCCGCGGUAAUUC
rnacentral:rRNA from 1 species